AUCCGAACAUGGUUUUUGGAGAGCCCUCUUUGUCAACAUCUGUCUGCCUGUUGCCUUUAAGUACAGAAUAUUUUGUUGCACUGUUGCGCUCCGAUUUUUAUUCAUGAAAUGACUUCCUUUUUUUUUCAGUCACGUAAUGAUCGGGUAUCAGAAAAAGACGUCAGCAUCCUAGUCCCUCAAGGAACAUAUUAACUAUUCUGUGCUGUCCUCUUGGAUGAUAAGAUCCGGAGUCAUCGACUUCUCAUAAACACCUUUCACUCAUACAAUCCAAUUUUUAAGAAGUCCAAUUAUUUUGAUGGUUUUCAAUUUCACCCAUUUCUCAAGGACAGCCCCACCAAUCAGAGCUCUGGUCUCUGGAAUUAAGCAUCAUCAAGCUCUCCUAUUAAUAAAUUUAAUUUAGAUCUCCUAA
rnacentral:lncRNA from 1 species